AGCGAACGCUGGCGGCAGGCCUAACACAUGCAAGUCGAACGAAGUCUUCGGACUUAGUGGCGGACGGGUGAGUAACACGUGGGAACGUGCCUUUAGGUUCGGAAUAACUCAGGGAAACUUGUGCUAAUACCGAAUGUGCCCUUCGGGGGAAAGAUUUAUCGCCUUUAGAGCGGCCCGCGUCUGAUUAGCUAGUUGGUGAGGUAAAGGCUCACCAAGGCGACGAUCAGUAGCUGGUCUGAGAGGAUGAUCAGCCACAUUGGGACUGAGACACGGCCCAAACUCCUACGGGAGGCGGCAGUGGGGAAUCUUGCGCAAUGGGCGAAAGCCUGACGCAGUCAUGCCGCGUGAAUGAUGAAGGUCUUAGGAUUGUAAAAUUCUUUCACCGGGGACGAUAAUGACGGUACCCGGAGAAGAAGCCCCGGCUAACUUCGUGCCAGCCGCCGCCGUAAUAC
rnacentral:rRNA from 1 species